AGCCUGCCGCGUGUCUGAAGAAGGCCUUCGGGUUGUAAAGGACUUUUGUUAGGGAAGAAAAGCCGGGUGCUAAUACCACCUGGUGCUGACGGUACCUAAAGAAUAAGCACCGGCUAACUACGUGCCAGCAGCCGCGGUAAUACGUAGGGUGCGAGCGUUAAUCGGAAUUACUGGGCGUAAAGCGAGCGCAGACGGUUAAUCAAGUCAGAUGUGAAAUCCCCCAGCUCAACUUGGGACGUGCAUUUGAAACUGGUUAACUAGAGUGUGUCAGAGGGAGGUAGAAUUCCACGUGUAGCAGUGAAAUGCGUAGAGAUGUGGAGGAAUACCGAUGGCGAAGGCAGCCUCCUGGGAUAACACUGACGUUCAUGCUCGAAAGCGUGGGUAGCAAACAGGAUUAGAUACCCUGGUAGUCCACGCCCUAAACGAUGACAAUUAGCUGUUGGGACACUAGAUGUUUUAGUAGCGAAGCUAACGCGUGAAAUUGUCCGCCUGGGGAGUACGGUCGCAAGAUUAAAACUCAAAGGAAUUGACGGGGGG
rnacentral:rRNA from 1 species